rnacentral:rRNA from 1 species
AAACAUGUCUUUUUGAAUUUGAAUUUAAAGUCUAACCUGCCCACUGAAUAUUUAAAUGGCCGCAGUAUCCUAACUGUGCAAAGGUAGCAUAAUCAUUAGUCUUUUAAUUGUAGGCUUGUAUGAAUGGUUGGACGAGGUACUAACUGUUUCAGAAAUAUUUAUAAUAGAAUUUUAUUUUUUAGUCAAAAAGCUAAAAUUUAUUUAAAAGACGAGAAGACCCUAUAAAUCUUUAUAUAAUUUUAUAUAUUUUUAAAUUAGUAUUAUAUUUUAAAUUUAUAUAAAAUUAUAUUUUAUUGGGGUGAUAUUAAAAUUUAAAAAACUUUUAUUUUUAAAAUUACAUUUAUUUAUGAAUAAUUGAUCCGUUUAUAACGAUUAAAAAAUUAAGUUACUUUAGGGAUAACAGCGUAAUUUUUUUGGAGAGUUCAUAUCGAUAAAAAAGAUUGCGACCUCGAUGUUGGAUUAAGAUAUUGGGGUGGGCGCAGCCGUUCACCUUUUAAGUCUGUUCGACUUUUUAAUUCUUACAUGAGCU